rnacentral:rRNA from 1 species
ACGCACGCUGGCGGCGUGCCUAAUACCUGCAAGUCGAACGAGAGCGACCGGUGCUUGCACUGGUCAAUCUAGUGGCGAACGGGUGAGUAACACGUGGGUAACCUGCUCAUCAGAGGGGGAUAACAUCCGGAAACGGAUGCUAAAACCGCAUAGGUCUUCGAGCCGCAUGGCUUGAAGAGGAAAAGAGGCGCAAGCUUCUGCUGAUGGAUGGACCCGCGGUGCAUUAGCUAGUUGGUGAGGUAACGGCUCACCAAGGCCGUGAUGCAUAGCCGACCUGAGAGGGUGAUCGGCCACAUUGGGACUGAGACACGGCCCAAACUCCUACGGGAGGCAGCAGUAGGGAAUCUUCCGCAAUGGACGCAAGUCUGACGGAGCAACGCCGCGUGAGUGAAGAAGGUUUUCGGAUCGUAAAACUCUGUUGUUAGAGAAGAACAAGUGCUAGAGUAACUGUUAGCGCCUUGACGGUAUCUAACCAGAAAGCCACGGCUAACUACGUG